CAUGCCUUACACAUGCAAGUCGAACGCGAAAGCACUUUCGGGUGUUAGUAGAGUGGCAAACGGGUGAGUAACGCGUGGGAAUAUACCUUCAGGUGCGGAAUAGCCUCGGGAGACUGGGAUUAAUACCGCAUGAUGUCUUCGGACCAAAGAUUUAUCGCCUGAAGAUUAGCCCGCGUCGGAUUAGCUGGUUGGUCGGGUAAUAGCCUACCACGGCAACGAUCUGUAGCUGGUCUGAGAGGACGAACGGCCACAUUGGGACUGGGACACGGCCCAAACUCCUACGGGAGGCAGCAGUGGGGAAUAUUGGACAAUGGACGAAAGACUUAACCUGCAAUGCCACGUGAAUGAUGAAGGCCUUAGGGUGGUAAAGUUCUUUAAGGGGGGAAGAUAAUGACGGUACCCACAGAAUAAGCACCGACUAACUUCGUCCCAGCAGCCGCCGUAA
rnacentral:rRNA from 1 species